ACACUCAUCUGGCAGGGGAGAUACCAUGAUCAUGAAGGCCGUUUUCCUGGGGAGAGGCUUAUCCAUUGCACUCCUGGUGUGCUGACCCCUGCGAUUCCCCUGGAUGUGGGAAACUCGACUGCAUAAUUUCUGGUAGUUGGGGACUGUGUUCUCCCUGGCCGAAA